rnacentral:lncRNA from 1 species
AGAAGGAACGAACCCUGCUCACACCUGGAUCCCAGACUUCUAGCUUCCAGGACGGAGAAAAUAAAUGUUGUUGAAGCCGCCUACCCUAUGGUACUUUAUUAUGGAAGCCCUAGCACACUAAUACAUUAAGAGCCAAUCAGGAAGAUGCAGCAAUGGCCACUGUGAGAAAAGGAAACCUGCAGAGGACAUCUGUUAUCGAUAUUUUGAAGCCCUAACUUCUGGGACCUCAGAAUGUGACCUUAUUUGGAAAUUGGAAAUAGAAUCCUUGCCAGUGAAAUUACUUAAGUUGAGGUCAUAUGAGAAAGGGUGGGCCCUUCAUCCAAGAAGAUUGGUGUCUUUAUAAGAAGAGAAGAAGGGACACCGACAUAAAGGGAAGAGGACAGCCACGUAUGUGAUGAUGCAGACAGAGACUAGAGGGAUGAGUCUGCAAGCCAAGGAAUGCAAGGAUGGCUGGCAACACCAGACGCUCAAAAGAGAUAAGAAAGGAUCCUUCCCUACAGUCUUCAGAAGGAGCAAGGCCCUGCUAACAUGUUGAUCUUGGACUUCUGGCUUCCAGAACCAUAAGGGGGUUCUGGUGGUUUAUGGUGCUUUGUUGCACCACCUGGUUUAUGGUGCUUUGUUGCAGCAGCCCUUGGAAAGGUAAUUGAAUGUCCCGUGAGGUGUCAUGAGGGUGUGACCUGGAAUUAGCUCUGCUGCUCUGCAUGGCAUCACUUUUUUUGUCCUUAGUUUGAUUCCCCUUAUUAAAAGUAGCUGGAGGCCGGGUGCAGUGGCUCACAUCUGUAAUCCCAGCAGUUCAGGAGGCCGAUGCAGGUGGAUGGCUUGAGGCCAGGAGUUCAAGACUAGCCUGAGCAACAUGGAGAAACCCUGUGUCUACAAAAAAAAAUAUGUAUAUAUAUACAAAAAUUAGCUGGGCAUGGUGGCACACACCUAUAGUCCCAGCUACUCAGGAGGCUGAAGUGGGAGGAUUGCUUGAGCCUAGAAGGUAAAGGCUGCAGUGAGUUGAGAUCGCACCACUGCACUCCAGCCUGGGCAACAGAGUGAGAACCUGUCUCAAAAACAAAACAAAACAAAACAAAAAAAAAACAAAGAGUAAUUGCUUUUAAACCCAAAGCUAGGUGAUAGUGAGUGUUUGUGUGCUAACUUCCGGUGAGCACUCACAUGCCUAUCUCGCUGGAGUCCUAUGUUCCCAGGCUUGCAUCUGUCUGCCUGUUCCCCCUACGUCUCCACCCACAGAGGUAGCCGCGGCUCUGCAGCUCUGGAGCCUCAGGGCUGGAAGCAGGUGAGGGGAGGCCUUUGUUGAUCCUGCUCAACCAAUGCCCCCGCUGCCACAUAGAAGAAACGGUGGACGUGUUUAGAAAAUGAUACCAAGUUUACCCCUGAAACGCAAUUGCAUAUCCUGUGCAGGCUGAGUGAGGCAAGGUGAAACUAUUGACUGGUAUCACUUGAGAUAGAGCCAACUGUUCAAACUGAAACUGAAAGACAGCGUGGUCCCUCUGAGGAAAAAAGGGCAGAAGUAAAAGCACGAAAUUGUCACUUGUGUAGUGGCAAACAAAAAAGAAAGAGAAAAUAGGUUUCACUUAUUUAAAUUAUAAAAGUAGUUAGUAUGUGCUGAUUCAAAAAACUUAAAAGAUACAGAAGUGUAUAAGAUAGAAACAGAACUGCGUCUGCCUCCACCUCCUCCCCUGCCCACAAGCCAGCCCUCCACUUUCAGACUCCACAGAAGCAACUGUUUUAAUGCGUGGUAAACAUAUUUAGAAGAACUUUCUCUGCUGUGCAUAAAAGCAUGCUCUAACAUCAUUUGGUUUCACUUCAUUUUAUUUUAAAACCACA